rnacentral:rRNA from 1 species
GACGAACGCUGGCGGCGUGCUUAACACAUGCAAGUCGAACGGAAAGGCCCUGCUUUUGUGGGGUGCUCGAGUGGCGAACGGGUGAGUAACACGUGAGUAACCUGCCCUUGACUUUGGGAUAACUUCAGGAAACUGGGGCUAAUACCGGAUAGGAGCUCCUGCUGCAUGGUGGGGGUUGGAAAGUUUCGGCGGUUGGGGAUGGACUCGCGGCUUGUCAGCUUGUUGGUGGGGUAGUGGCUUACCAAGGCUUUGACGGGUAGCCGGCCUGAGAGGGUGACCGGCCACAUUGGGACGGGGCUACGGCCCAGACUCGUACGGGAGGCAGCAGUGGGGAAUAGUGCACGGUGGGCUGAAGCCUGAUGCAGCACCGCAGCGUGGGGUGUGACGGCCUUCGGGUUGUGAACCGCUUCCGCCUGUGACGAAGCGUGAGUGACGGUAAUGGGUAAAGAAGCAACGGCUAACUACGUG